CCGGGCAGCGACGCUGCAGCCGCGCCGGGCCGGCCGCUGCCCCUCGGCUUCCCCAGGAGCGCGGCGCUCCGCAUUCACCAGCCCUGAGUCAGGGCAGCCAGACUCGGGCGUGAUUUCCUAAAGCCGGCUUGCAAAAGGAUGGACAUGCUUAUGCACAUGCUUCUCCUGUGUAGAGGGUAUUUUCAUGCACUACAGUAAAUAACUCCUGACAAUGGAUUUGCAUGUUGUUCUCAGACAUGCUGGAUGAGGGGAGAGAAAGGGAUGGUGAAUUGGCUACCAGGUAAGUUUUGUGAUUUAUUGACAAGGCAGUAAUUAAAAAUUAAAACCAAACAAACUUGAAACAGUAGACUACCAACUUCUUUAAACAAAAUUAUUUUUCUACCCUGGAAUUUGAUUUUGAAUGGGACUUUAUGUUCACGUAACCUUCAGAGUGUUUACAGUCUGUAGCAGUGCAUUUCAAAUACUUGAAUAGUCUUGCCUUUUUCUGCCUACCAGUAGUUUUGUGGAGCUAUUUAAGUCGCUUAAAUUUUAAUCCACAGGUAUUUGGAAGAAGGAUAAAUCAGUGGUCAAAAAAACACAGCUCAUUAAUUUUACAUAAUAGCAAAAGAAUAAAUAGGUCAGUAUUCUGUGCAUUACUAAUAGGAUAAUAUAAUUGCUGUGUAGUUUGUGUUUAUGGGAUACUUUGAAGAUGUAAUUUGUUGUACAGAACUAAUAUGUUCAUACAUUUCUGCAUCUAGCUAUACUCAAAAAAGAAAUACUUAACCUCACUUGAAAUCUUUUUGGUUUCUGGUGCACAGUGAAAGAAACCAGGCUGGGAUUCAGCUGAUGAAGUGCCUAUGUGUAUCUCCAGUUACCUAGCUAGACCCUCCACUACAAACAGGAAAGAAAUAUGAUGAAAUCUGAUGAAAAAACUGUAUUAUACUUUAGUAAGUGUCUACUAUAGAUCAUAGGUAUCACUUGUGUCUGCCUUGUUCUUGGUUUUGCAGAAAAUGUAUUUCUGCUUCUUCAGCUCUUGAGAAAGUUCUCUCUCUCCUGCAAACACAGACUUGCAGAAAGCUCUGGUGUUCCUGAGUUAUUGAAUUGAAAUUCCUUGUUGGACCUACUGACAACAUUUCAGAUUUUCUCUGACAAACUUUAAAGCCUUUUCAAGACCUAGAAAUUAUCUCACAGUGGGAAAUAAAUCCAUCAGCUUACAUGAAAGAAAAUAAGUUGCUGAUGGUUUCCCAUCAAGGACUAAAUGGUCAUUUUAUAUGAAAUCUCUUAAAAAUAAAGACAAGUAUAAGUUCAAGAUAUGAAAUAUCAGACUGCUAAAAGAAACACCUGAAGCAGUAAAUUACUAGACUCUUCCAGCUUGGGACUGUGCAAGGCAGAAGAGCAGAAGCCAUAAGAAGUAUGUCUCCCUCCAGAUUCCAGGGCAUGGCCACCCUUUCAAAUGAUAGAAACACCACUUAUGCUGGGCUACAUCACAGUUGUCCUCCUACACCAGAUACUCUAAAUUGAAAAAGUCCCACUACCAGCCAAAAAGUCCCUGAAAAGCCUGGGCCAAAUGACUAAUUUGCUGUGAGGGGAAGGAUGUUUAAUCAUGAUGAGAAUACCACAUUGGUAGUAUUCUCAAGCAAGGCAAGCAGCUUUGCACUGCUUGCCUUAGAUGCAUUUAUGAUUCCUAGGCGUAGCCAAUGCCCUACCAGAAAGGCUUUGCAGGGAAUUUGUUACAUGUGUGGCACACUUCUGCUGAGCUCCAUGUUUCAUGCUCUCAGUCCCACCUGAGGUAGCAGACAGACCCUACCCACCUCCAGAGACAGAAUGUGAAGAGUAUAGGUGAUUUCUGCCUCUCUUGGGCAUUAAACUUAAAGGAUAAGGAGAUGAGAAUAAUUCUGAAGCUUUGAGAACCCUACAGGAGCAACUGAAUGCCUGUCCUCCUGGAAUAACCUUACAGAUAACCACAGGAUUAGCUCUGCAGCCUGGGACACUGAGUCAUCCUGAGCAGGGAGAGCCUUUGCAGCACUUGGGCAUGCACAAUAUCUACUGAGAGGAUUUGUCACCAGAGGGAGUCACAGACUUUAAGAAAUAAGCAAACGCUGCCGAGUUUGUAUUUCCAAUGUCUGAGUGCAUCACAGUUACGUCAAUGGAAAGACUCAAAAUUUCCUCUAAUUUCACUUUCAGUGUCCUUUAGAUCCUUAGCAAAUUUCCCAUAACUGUGUGCAUUCUUGCUUUCAUGCUGCAUUUGGCUAAUGAGGACAGGAUUUCUUGCUGCUUGACGUGAUGUUCCCUUCCUUGUCCUUCCUCCUCCCCUCAGUUCCCAGCACUAUUCUGCACGCCUCCCUCCCCUGUGCCUGAUGUUGAUCACUCUUUUGACCCUUUUUUGAAGAAAUUCAUUUCCCUAAACAGAGGAAUAUCAAUAUGACAGAUACACAUUUUUAGUGAGUGAGCUGAAGCAGCUCAGUGAAGAGCCUGGCUUGGUCAGAGCCCAGUGCUGACAACACCAAUAUCAUGGGUUCAAUCCCCAGAUGGGCCAUUCAUGUGAGUUGGGGUCAAUGCUCCUUGUGGGUCUCUUCCAACUCAGAAUAUUCUGUGAUUCUGUCAAACAGCUGAACCAGCACAAGGUGAAGUGGAGACCACAUGGUCAGAGUGGAAGAAAAAGAAGAUGCUUGGGCUCCUGUUUUUUGUCAGAAAACCUGAGAGUUGAGCAGUAUGUUUGGCUGUAGUGUGAAACUGCAUCCAUGGUCACCUUCCCAGAUGUCCUGAGGGCUCCUUCAUAUGCACCAUUCUUACACAGGUUAUCUUUCUUCACCCAGGUUCAAAUUAGACAAUACAAGACCUUCCCUCAUAAAAUAAAAAGAAUAAUCAAGAAAAAAAAAAUCCUCUGAUUGCUUUACUGCUAAUAAAUAUCUAUUGACUUCAUUAGAAAUACCCUCCUCUCCUAUUGCAUUGCAUGAGGCAUACCCAAGCCUUCAGUAGGCUCAGUGAACCUCAGCUGACUUGCAUUAUUUGAAAGCGUGGGCCUUUGUGCAUGAACGGAAUAUACAUUAUUUCUUUAAUAACACAGAAAUAAUUUCAAUCAUUCGUGAUUCUCCUUUUACUUGGUCUGCCUGAUUUGAUUUUCCCAGCCUGUUGCACUGCCAUUCUGACAUGAUCUCAGAGACUCAUGAAUUAUAGUGGCUUCAGUGAGGAAUAGACUGCCAUUGGUAAGAAAAACAGACCCACUGUCUUUUGAAUUUAUGUACUUAAGUCCCCACAUACAUGCUUUGUAGCUCAGGCUGAUAUCUCCAGAAACUUACUGUGUGCUAAAAUGAGGAAUUCUAGAAGCCAUGAAAAAUAGAAUUAUGUGUUGAAAUUAAAGGACUCUUCAGAUCAAAAAUGAGGCACUAAGAAGAAGGUUUAGUUAUAGAUUUGAACAGCUAUAGGAUGUGGUAAGGCAUUUUAUAUUUUUGGAAGGCAACGUGGAUAACAGCAUAUCUGGUUUCUGAAAGAGUUUGAGAUUUUCCAGGAGUGGAACUGCGUAAGUGCAAUUAAAGCUGAGAGAUGGACAGCUACACUGGUGACCACAGUAAAUGCUAUUUUGAGGUACCAGCCAAUGUCACAGAGUUUAUAAGCAUUGUGUGUCAGAAAUAAUAAUAAGGAAACAUUUUACAUCUAAACUGCUAUGGGAAACUCCCGGUGCUCUUCAGAUUUGAUCUCAUUCCAGUUUCUCAACCUGGAUCUGCUUCAAGACUUUCAAAGUUCUUGUGUCUGGAUUUCAAAGAAAAUGAACUGGGACAGAUAGCAAGAUCUGAGCCAGUCUUCUGAAGUGCUGAGAUCCCAUGAAUCCAUGUGAAACCAGCUUCUGCGGUGCCAGCCCCUGCUCACAUAUUUAAUGGGAGUUCAGAAGUCAGAGUUUUGGGACCUCCUCUGGUUAUUUCUACCCUCAUGUUGUUGCUAAUUGAUUUACUCAGAGCAGGUCAACUCCUUUCUCAUCUAUGUCAACAGCCCACUUAAAAUUUCCUUUGCAGAUCAGAGCUUGCAGUCUUUAGGGGAGAGCAGGUUAAUUCAUCAACAGGAAGAAAGGGCAGGGCUGGGACACCCCUCAAAGGCAGAAUCCAGGGGAGCAGAGCCUCAUCCUCCUGACACUGCCAGGGCAACAACCAUCAGCUGGUGCCUUUGCUCUCACUGUUAGCUGCUGCCUCCCCACAGUCCCAGACCCUUUCUCAGCAGCAGCAACAGCCAGACUGCUUUGCUUCCAGGUUUGGAAGGGUACAAAGUAAGCAAAGUAAGGGCCAUGACUACUUCUGCUAGGCCAAGAACCUGGCUUCCCUGGAAAAUUCAUUGUUUCAUUUCUUGGUUCUCUUUGGACUCAAGAAGUCAGU